UCUUGAUUCUCUCUGAAUAACGACAUACGAUAUACCGGCAGGUGACAGAACCACUGACAAGAGUGGUGAAAUUCUUCUUCGUUUGUGUCCGCUGGACCGCAUUUUACCGCCCCCUGGUGGCCGACUUACAAACAAAGCGCCACGAUGACUUGAUUGUCAUGGAUUAGCACAUAUUGCUUAACAUUAGAUUCUAUUCAAAUGUUUUCACCAGAUGUUUUUAUCCACUGAAAUUUUCCAUUUUCCUGAUUACAAACGUUUUGAGUUCCAAGCGUGGUUACGGAAUCAAUUAAAGUCAUUUUUUUUUUGGGCACGCCCACCUUUUUGGAGAUUUUUUUUUUUCCCCCGCACUUCCGACAUUUAACUUCGUGCGCACAUCAUUUAUUGCAAAGCACCGCGGCCUCCUGAAGCAGCGCAGUAGGGUUAGGUUUACUUUUCUACUUUUGUCUGUCUGCGGUCAUCUUGCCAGCGAGGAUGCGCUUGCGGAAUGCGGGGGAAAAGAUGCAAACACUUUUGUACUUUGUACACUACACGGAGGGACUGAUAUGUAACCAAGCAGUUAAAAAAGUCAAUUUUUUAAAGGUGCGAUUAAAAUGUUUCCUUUUCUUGUGAGCGGGACAAACAAUUACUGCAAUUAUGCUUUGAAUCCAUCAGGCUGUCUUUCUCCCCGGUAACGUGCGCACACAGCGGCCGCGAGAGGCUCGAGUAAUCUCUCGUGUGAUAUUCCAGGGAUAUGACAUCCAAUUUGUGGUUGAAAAUUGGUGAGCAAGACUCGAACUGAGCUUCAUUUGGGUGUCGACACUCCAUCGGAUGUCACUGGAGCUGCUGUGAACUCAACCGGACGACGCGCAGACUCGCCGCUCUCACAUCAGACGCCACGGAAGCGCUGACGAGGAAGAUGGCAAACGAACGUAUGCUUUCAGCAACUGCGUUUCUGAUCGUGUGCGCGUCUUCACCUCCGGGAGUCCACCGCGUCCUCGAGCUCCCGGGCCUUGAGAGCCGCCGUUCGCAGGACCGACUCCGGGACGUCGGCCAAGCGGGCCACGUUGAGGCCGUAACUCCGCUCGGCAGCUCCUUCGCUUAACUGGUAGAGGAAGGUGAUGAAUUCGGGACGAACUUCCCCGUCUGCUGAGACGUGGCCCAGCGGACACAUCGGGGUCAUUGAGGAGAAAGGACAUGUGGUAGUUGGACACAUGUUGCGGAAACAUCCGCUCCAGAUCACACAAGGGCGGGUAAUGAGUCACAAAGAGGGUGAAAGACUUCACCUGCAGCACAGGAAG